GGAGUUAGGAAAUGCAGGACGGUUAAUACCCAACCUGUUUGACAAAGGCCCCAAAGGAAGCCACGGCUAACUCUGUGCCAGCAGCCGCGGUAAUACAGAGGUGGCAAGCGUUGUUCGGUAUUAUUGGGCGUAAAGAGCACGUAGGUGGUUUUGUAAGUCAGAUGUGAAAGCCUUCUGUUCAAAGGAAGAACGGCAUCUGAAACUGCAGAUCUUGAGUGUAGGAGGGGAGAGUGGAACUUCUG
rnacentral:rRNA from 1 species